rnacentral:rRNA from 1 species
AGUGAACGCUGGCGGUAGGCCUAACACAUGCAAGUCGAACGGCAGCACAGUAAGAGCUUGCUCUUACGGGUGGCGAGUGGCGGACGGGUGAGGAAUACAUCGGAAUCUACUUUUUCGUGGGGGAUAACGUAGGGAAACUUACGCUAAUACCGCAUACGACCUACGGGUGAAAGCAGGGGAUCUUCGGACCUUGCGCGAUUGAAUGAGCCGAUGUCGGAUUAGCUAGUUGGCGGGGUAAAGGCCCACCAAGGCGACGAUCCGUAGCUGGUCUGAGAGGAUGAGAAGCCAAACUGGAACGGAGACACGGUACAGACUCCGACGGGAGGAAGAAGGGGGGAAUAUUGGACAAGGGGCGCAAGCAUGAACAAGCAAUACCGCGUGGGUGAAGAAGGCAUUCGGGUUGGAAAGCCAUUUUGUUGGGAAAGAAAAGAAGCAGGUUAAAACCCCGAGGUUCUGACGGUACCAAAAAAAUAAGCACCGGCUAACUUCGUG